rnacentral:rRNA from 1 species
GACGAACGCUGGCGGCGUGCUUAACACAUGCAAGUCGAACGGAAAGGCCCUGCUUGCAUGGUACUCGAGUGGCGAACGGGUGAGUAACACGUGGGUGGUCUGCCCUGCACUUCGGGAUAAACCUGGGUAACUGGGUCUAAUACCGAAUAGGUGCCAUUUUUAGUGUGAUGGUUUGAAAGUUUUUGUGGUGUAUGCUGAGCUCACGGCCUAUCAGCUUGUUUGUGGGGUAAUUGCCUACCAAGGCGGCGACGGGUAGCCGGCCUGAGAGGGUGGACGGGCACAUUGGGACUGAGAGAGGGCGCAGAAGCCUACGGGAGGCAGCAGAGGGGAAUAUGGCACAAUGGGCGCAAGCCUGAUGCAGCGAUGUCGCGUGGGGGAUGACGGCCUUGGGGUGGUAAACUCCUUUCGCUAGGGACGAAGCUUUUUGUGACGGUACCUAGAUAAGAAGCACCGGCUAACUACGUG